GUGGGUGGUGAUUUUCUUAUCUUUUCCAGAAAGCAAAGAGAUAAGACUAUGUUCUCUAAGUAAGAGCAGCUAAAGAGUAGUAAUAGAGACAUCCAUGUAACAAUUGAUUACUUGAAGCAAACUACUGCAAAAUAAAAAAAUGUACAUCAGGCAUCAAAUGACAACUUGAAUAAACUUCAAUAGAUGUAUCCGAGGACAAGUUUUGGGGUGUCUGACCCUAGAGAUGCUCAAGCUAAUUGCUUGUGGUACUAGUUGUCUAUUGCAGUCACUAGACUUAAUUUUAUGUUCUCUUCCCCUCCUCCUAAAUUGUGUUACUUUUUUUGUUAGAUUUUCAUCCUCUUUUGUGGACUUUAUUUUGGUAUAGCUCAUCUUCACACUAUUAGAAGUACAAAAUGAAAGUUGCAUAGCAAGUUGUAUAAUUGUCAACUGAAAAUACUAACUAACAAGGUUGCAAAUGAUACCAAGAAAGUCAUAAAGCAAUAAAAAAGACAAUGAUUAGGUCAUAAUGACUUUCUAACAUAUAGGUUCAAGUUUCACUUAAUUUGAUGGUAAACCAAAUACUGAACUUAAAACAGAAAGAACAACGAAGAAGAAAAAAGAACAUUAAGAUGGACUAAAUUGAACUAAAUAUAGAAAAAAUUAACUAUAGCAAUAUAAAUAUUAUCUAAUCUAGAUUUUGUUCCCUGAAAUGAGUAACAUAUGAGGCUAAUAAAAUUACAGCCACAAUUCACAAAUACUCUAAAUCAAAAAUCAUGUAACACCCCAUUAUGUAAACAAGCUCAAAAAUCUGACCUAGAAUACUUACUUCUGGAAUUUUUUGAAAGGAAGAAAACUUACCAAGAGCAACUAUUUCGAACUCUGUUAAGAAAAUCUUGAAGAAAGUAUACAGAUGGCUAGCAAACAAUAAACUUCAAACUCGAAUCUGCCACUUCCACAAAAAAAUCAUGAAAAAUGUUGAGAGAUAACCAAAAAUCUAACAAGAAUCUCUUUACGCAUUCAUGACAAAAUAAUCAGCCAACCAGAAUAAAUGAAUGAAUGAAUCCUAGCAACAUAUAAAGUGAGCUAACAAUUUCAUACUACGAGAUGACCCCAAAUGAUGAAAUGGAGGUUUUAAAUUUCCCAAGAUGCAUUUCUUCAAAGCAAAUUUCAACAACCAGAUGCUUAAAUUGAACAACCAGUAGAGUAAUUUCAACGAGGCAAAGUAACGACACAUGAAAGCAUUACACCAACUUCCAAACAUCAAGAAAACUUGAGAGAAGUAGUCUUAUCUUAAAAAAAAUACAGAUAACACUAGCAGAAAACAAAGCAGGCAGCAAACUGGAGAAGCAAGAGCAUUCAAAGUGCUUAACAUAUUAAACAAAUUCCGAACCUGGUAACAGGAAAAAAAUAUAGUAUUUAGAGAAGAUAACACCAUUAUUCAACCCAGCGAAAACAACAUUCGACGAAGAAGAGCAACCAAAACGAGAUGAGGAUGAGGUUGUUACCUGCAACGAACUCUAGAAAUCGAUUUCCAAACCAGCAGACUCAGAAAGCUUCAGCUCCUAACUUUUGGAUAUCUAAAUCUAUAUAUCCUUCUCUGUAUAUUUUCUGCCUCUCCAACGUCUAUAUAUUUUUCCCAGGCAAAGAGGAGGUUUAUAUAGGAGGACUGAAUUGGGAUGAAAUGAUUGAAAGCUGGAAUUGUAACGGGAAAGAGAGGAGAGUCGUCCGAUUCCUUGGUGAAGGACGAAGGAGAUGCAAGAUUGGAAAGUUCAACAACGGUCAUUGUACGGAGAUGGAUUGUCGCGAUUCGGGUCACCUUCUUCGCGUGAAGAAGAAAGGGUUUCUUUGGUAUUAUGGAGUGGGCUGCUCAAUUGUUU
rnacentral:lncRNA from 1 species